CCUCUCGCUCUCGCAGGAACCCACGAUGGGGAAUCUAUUUGGGCUCUCUGCACGAGUCAUUGCCGCUUUGAAACGAAUUGAACAUCUUCUUUUCAAUCCGAACGGUAACUAGUUUGGAUAAUUGCUACUUUGGGUCCUUUGCGAAUAGCAGGAUAUGGUUUUGAUCGAAGGAAGUUCUUUCAUCUCUCCUGCAAUAGAGCUUCGAUUCUACCCAAUUCUGCCGAAGGUAAGUUAGUGCCAGGUGUCCCACUACAGAUUUUCACUCUUUUCCUUCUUUCAUACAUGCAGCUGUUUAAAGCUAGAUUACAAGCUUCAACCCCGGACGCACAUUCAUCUUUCUAUGUUUGCGAGCAGCUUCUCAGUCCAACACAAUAUAUUAUUUCAUCUCUUUGUCUUUUUGUGUACUCUACCCCAAUAUGUCUUAAGGAGAAAGUCGUACUUUAACCCC
rnacentral:sRNA from 1 species